UGCGGUGGUGAUAGCGGGAGGGUCACACCCGGUCCCUUUUCGAACCCGGUCGUUAAGCCU
rnacentral:rRNA from 1 species